rnacentral:rRNA from 1 species
GUGGACUGAUAAGAAGUGAGAAUGCUGGCAUGAGUAACGAGAGAGGAGCGAGAAACUCCUCCGCCGUAAGCCUAAGGGUUCCUGGGCAAGGCUAAUCCUCCCAGGGUCAGUCGGGAGCUAAGGCGAGGCUGUGAAGCGUAGCCGAUGCACAACAGGUUGAUAUUCCUGUACCACCAUCUAAUCACUAUGACGAUGGGGUGACGGAGAAGGGUAGCCGGGCGGGGUUCUGGACGUCCCCGUGAAAGCGUGUAGGGUAAGGUUGUAGGCAAAUCCGCGACCUUGUAGGCCUGAGACGUUAGACGAAGCUCUAAGUGAAGUCGGUAAGCCCAUGCUUCCAAGAAAAACCUCUAAGCAGAUUUUAUGGUGCCCGUACCAAAACCGACACAGGUAGGCGGGUAGAGCAUACCAAGGCGAUCGGGAGAACCAUGGUUAAGGAACUCGGCAUAAUGACUCCGUAACUUCGGGAGAAGGAGUGCCCUUGUCUGUGACAGACUACGCGUCUUGAGCGGAUGAGGGUCGCAGCGAAACGGCCCAAGCGACUGUUUAUCAAAAACACAGGACUCUGCUAAGUCGUAAGACGACGUAUAGGGUCUGACGCCUGCCCGGUGCUGGAAGGUUACGUGGAUGUGUUAGCAUCUCGCGAAGCACUGAAACUAAGCCCCAGUAAACGGCGGCCGUAACUAUAACGGUCCUAAGGUAGCGAAAUUCCUUGUCGGGUAAGUUCCGACCUGCACGAAUGGCGUAACGAUUUGGGCGCUGUCUCGACCAUGGACCCGGUGAAAUUGUAUUAUUCGUGAAGAUGCGAAUUACCUGCGGAAGGACGGAAAGACCCCGUGAACCUUUACUGCAGCUUGGCAUUGACUGUUGGUUCGGCGUGUAGAGGAUAGGUGGGAGACUGUGAAGCAGAAACGCCAGUUUCUGUGGAGUCAACCUUGGAAUACCACCCUCGCCGCUCCGGCAGUCUAACGUGUGAGCGUUAUCCGCCACACGGACCGUGCCAGGUGGGUAGUUUGACUGGGGCGGUCGCCUCCUAAAUGGUAACGGAGGCGUGCGUAAGGUUCGCUCAGGAUGGUUGGCAAUCAUCCGUAGAGCACAAGAGUAUAAGCGAGCUUGACUGCGAGACCUACAAGUCGAGCAGAGACGAAAGUCGGUUCUAGUGAUCCGGCGGCCCAGCGUGGAAUGGCCGUCGCUCAACGGAUAAAAGGUACUCCGGGGAU